rnacentral:rRNA from 1 species
UUAAGCGACUAAGCGUACACGGUGGAUGCCCUGGCAGUCAGAGGCGAUGAAGGACGUGCUAAUCUGCGAAAAGCGUCGGUAAGGUGAUAUGAACCGUUAUAACCGGCGAUGUCCGAAUGGGGAAACCCAGUGCAAUUCGUUGCACUAUCGUUAACUGAAUACAUAGGUUAACGAGGCGAACCGGGGGAACUGAAACAUCUAAGUACCCCGAGGAAAAGAAAUCAACCGAGAUUCCCCCAGUAGCGGCGAGCGAACGGGGAGCAGCCCAGAGUCUGAAUCAGCUUGUGUGUUAGUGGAACGGUCUGGAAAGUCCGACGGUACAGGGUGAUAGUCCCGUACACCAAAAUGCACAGGUUGUGAACUCGAAGAGUAGGGCGGGACACGUGGUAUCCUGUCUGAAUAUGGGGGGGACCAUCCUCCAAGGCUAAAUACUCCUGACUGACCGAUAGUGAACCAGUACCGUGAGGGAAAGGCGAAAAGAACCCCGGCGAGGGGAGUGAAAAAGAACCUGAAACCGUGUACGUACAAGCAGUGGGAGCACCUUCGGGUGUGACUGCGUACCUUUUGUAUAAUGGGUCAGCGACUUAUAUUCUGUAGCAAGGUUAACCGUAUAGGGGAGCCGCAGGGAAACCGAGUCUUAACUGGGCGUUAAGUUGCAGGGUAUAGACCCGAAACCCGGUGAUCUAGCCAUGGGCAGGUUGAAGGUUGGGUAACACUAACUGGAGGACCGAACCGACUAAUGUUGAAAAAUUAGCGGAUGACUUGUGGCUGGGGGUGAAAGGCCAAUCAAACCGGGAGAUAGCUGGUUCUCCCCGAAAGCUAUUUAGGUAGCGCCUCGUGAAUUCAUCUUCGGGGGUAGAGCACUGUUUCGGCUAGGGGGUCAUCCCGACUUACCAACCCGAUGCAAACUACGAAUACCGAAGAAUGUUAUCACGGGAGACACACGGCGGGUGCUAACGUCCGUCGUGAAGAGGGAAACAACCCAGACCGCCAGCUAAGGUCCCAAAGUCAUGGUUAAGUGGGAAACGAUGUGGGAAGGCACAGACAGCCAGGAUGUUGGCUUAGAAGCAGCCAUCAUUUAAAGAAAGCGUAAUAGCUCACUGGUCGAGUCGGCCUGCGCGGAAGAUGUAACGGGGCUAAACCAUGCACCGAAGCUGCGGCAGCGACACUAUGUGUUGUUGGGUAGGGGAGCGUUCUGUAAGCCUGCGAAGGUGGCCUGUGAGGGUUGCUGGAGGUAUCAGAAGUGCGAAUGCUGACAUAAGUAACGAUAAAGCGGGUGAAAAGCCCGCUCGCCGGAAGACCAAGGGUUCCUGUCCAACGUUAAUCGGGCAGGGUGAGUCGACCCCUAAGGCGAGGCCGAAAGGCGUAGUCGAUGGGAAACAGGUUAAUAUUCCUGUACUUGGUGUUACUGCGAAGGGGGGACGGAGAAGGCUAUGUUAGCCGGGCGACGGUUGUCCGGUUUAAGCAUGUAGGCUGAUUGUCCAGGCAAAUCCGGAUAAUCAAGGCUGAGGUGUGAUGACGAGGCACUACGGUGCUGAAGUAACAAAUGCCCUGCUUCCAGGAAAAGCCUCUAAGCAUCAGGUAACAUCAAAUCGUACCCCAAACCGACACAGGUGGUCAGGUAGAGAAUACCAAGGCGCUUGAGAGAACUCGGGUGAAGGAACUAGGCAAAAUGGUGCCGUAACUUCGGGAGAAGGCACGCUGGUGUGUAGGUGAAGCCCCUGCGGGUGGAGCUGAGACCAGUCGAAGAUACCAGCUGGCUGCAACUGUUUAUUAAAAACACAGCACUGUGCAAACACGAAAGUGGACGUAUACGGUGUGACGCCUGCCCGGUGCCGGAAGGUUAAUUGAUGGGGUUAUCCGUAAGGAGAAGCUCUUGAUCGAAGCCCCGGUAAACGGCGGCCGUAACUAUAACGGUCCUAAGGUAGCGAAAUUCCUUGUCGGGUAAGUUCCGACCUGCACGAAUGGCGUAAUGAUGGCCAGGCUGUCUCCACCCGAGACUCAGUGAAAUUGAACUCGCUGUGAAGAUGCAGUGUACCCGCGGCAAGACGGAAAGACCCGUGAACCUUUACUAUAGCUUGACACUGAACAUUGAGCCUUGAUGUGUAGGAUAGGUGGGAGGCUUUGAAGCGUGGACGCCAGUCUGCGUGGAGCCAACCUUGAAAUACCACCCUUUAAUGUUUGAUGUUCUAACGUUGGCCCCUGACCGGGGUUGCGGACAGUGUCUGGUGGGUAGUUUGACUGGGGCGGUCUCCUCCCAAAGCGUAACGGGAGGAGCACGAAGGUUAGCUAAUCCUGGUCGGACAUCAGGAGGUUAGUGCAAUGGCAUAAGCUAGCUUGACUGCGAGCGUGACGGCGCGAGCAGGUGCGAAAGCAGGUCAUAGUGAUCCGGUGGUUCUGAAUGGAAGGGCCAUCGCUCAACGGAUAAAAGGUACUCCGGGGAUAACAGGCUGAUACCGCCCAAGAGUUCAUAUCGACGGCGGUGUUUGGCACCUCGAUGUCGGCUCAUCACAUCCUGGGGCUGAAGUAGGUCCCAAGGGUAUGGGCUGUUCGCCAUUUAAAGUGGUACGCGAGCUGGGUUUAGAACGUCGUGAGACAGUUCGGUCCCUAUCUGCCGUGGGCGCUGGAGAAUUGAGGGGGGCUGCUCCUAGUACGAGAGGACCGGAGUGGACGCAUCACUGGUGUUCGGGUUGUCAUGCCAAUGGCACUGCCCGGUAGCUAAAUGCGGAAGAGAUAAGUGCUGAAAGCAUCUAAGCACGAAACUUGCCCCGAGAUGAGUUCUCCCUGAGACUUUAAGUCUCCUGAAGGAACGUUAAAGACGAUGACGUUGAUAGGCCGGGUGUGUAAGCGCAGCGAUGCGUUGAGCUAACCGGUACUAAUGAACCGUGAGGCUUAACCUU